AUUAUAUGUAGGGACGAUCGUUGAACAGAGUUGAAUACGAGAAUACUUGCUGGUGUUUACUGACCCAUAAAUAUCGUCGAACCGACCGCGAACACGAAAAUAACGAUUGGGAUCGGUCCGCAUAUAUCGCGUACAUUAUCGCGUCGACUAGUUACUUUUUCACAGCGUAAAUUGUGCACAGUGUCAAAUUGCGUUUUUAUCGGUUUUGUCGGCUGCUCCGAAUAUUAUACGCGUU